CUGGUACUGAGACACGGACCAGACUCCUACGGGAGGCAGCAGUGAGGAAUAUUGGUCAAUGGAGGCAACUCUGAACCAGCCAUGCCGCGUGAAGGAUGACGGCCCUCUGGGUUGUAAACUUCUUUUAUAGAGGAAGAAACUUGUCUACGUGUA
rnacentral:rRNA from 1 species